rnacentral:rRNA from 1 species
UACGUAGGCAGCGAGCGUUGUUCGGAGUUACUGGGCGUAAAGCGUGCGUAGGCGGUGUCUUAAGUUUGUUGUGAAAUCUCCCGGCUUAACCGGGAGGGUGCGGCGAAUACUGAGAUGCUGGAGUGCCGGAGAGGUAAGCGGAAUUCCUGGUGUAGCGGUGAAAUGCGCAGAUAUCGGGAAGAACACCCGUGGCGAAGGCGGCUCUCUGGGACGGUACUGACGCUGAGACGCGAAAGCGUGGGGAGCGAACAGG